GAUGAACGCUGGCGGCGUGCUUAACACAUGCAAGUCGAACGGAGUUAUUUAGAAGCUUGCUUUUGGAUAACUUAGUGGCGGACGGGUGAGUAACGCGUGGGUAACCUGCCUUAUACCGGGGGACAACAGUUGGAAACGACUGCUAAUACCGCAUAAGCGCACAGUAUCGCAUGAUACAGUGUGAAAAACUCCGGUGGUAUAAGAUGGACCCGCGUCUGAUUAGCCAGUUGGCGGUGUAACGGACCACCAAAGCGACGAUCAGUAGCCGGCCUGAGAGGGCAAACGGCCACAUUGGGACUGAGACACGGCCCAAACUCCUACGGGAGGCAGCAGUGGGGAAUAUUGCACAAUGGAGGAAACUCUGAUGCAGCGACGCCGCGUGAGUGAAGAAGUAUUUCGGUAUGUAAAGCUCUAUCAGCAGGAAAGAAAAUGC
rnacentral:rRNA from 1 species